rfam:Asian citrus Psyllid, Diaphorina citri - Florida Strain, whole genome shotgun sequence.
GCUCCCAUGGCGUAGUGGUCAAUGCACUCGCCUUGCACGCGGGAGACCCGGGUUCGAUUCCCGGCGGAGUCA